rnacentral:lncRNA from 1 species
GUUCCAUCUAUGCUAGCCUAGUUUACUAUGUGAGUGAAUGUGCCACGGCUGUACAGUUUUCACCUUUCAUCCAAGAACAAGUUCAAGUUGCAUAAGACUACUCCAAACCUAUUAAUGAUCCAUUUUCAAACACAUAUAAUCUAAAUUAGAGGAACCAUCUUAAUUUUUCUUGGAGACCCAAACAAGCACAGACCCAAAUUUCUCUGGUAUAAAACUUUCAAAAUAUGCCCC